rnacentral:rRNA from 1 species
GGCAGACUAGAGUAUUGAAAUGCAAGUGUAAUUCCAAAGUAGCGGUAAAUGCAGGACAUAGGAGGAACACCGGUUUGAAGUCGAUAGCUAGCCAAAGACUGACGAUGAGGCACGAAAACUGGAUAGCAAACCGGAUUAGUUACCCUAGUAGUCCACGCUGUAAACGAUGAAUACUAUUUAUGGGAGAGACUCAGUCAUGCAGCUAAUGCAUUAAUUAUUCCGCGUGUGGAGUAUGCACGCAAGUGUGUAACAUAAAUGAAUGGGCGCCGGCCCGCACGAGCGGUCGAGUAUGUGAUUUAAUUCGACGCAACGGGACGUACCUUGUCAGGCCUUGCCAUCCCUCGCGAAGUUCUAGAGAUAUUAUAGAGGUUAUCAAGGAGACAGGUGGUGCAUGGUUGUCGUCAGCUCGUGUCGUGAGAUGUUGGGUUAAGUCCCGCAACGAGCGCAACCCUUGUCUUCAGUUACCAUCAUUAAGUUGGGGACUCUGGAGAGACUGCCGGUAAUAAACCGGAGGAAGGUGGGGAUGACGUCAAAUCAUCAUGCCCCUUAUGGCCUGGGCUACACACGUACUACAAUGGCUGUUACAACGUGGAGCGACCGGGGGAACAGAAGCGAAUCUCUGAAAGCUAGUCUCAGUUCGGAUUGGAGUCUGCAACUCGCCUCCAUGAAGUUGGAAUCGCUAGUAAUCGCGGAUCAGCAUGCCGCGGUGAAUACGUUCUCGGGCCUUGUACACACCG